AAGAGUAUAUUUCAAUUAUAUGGCGACAGAAUACGAAAAGAUCUUGGGGCUCCCAAAGAUUGGAAGGUUUCCGAGGUCAUUGCUAACGGUACCUGGUGUCUCCCUAAUCCUAUUUCUCCCGAAAUGUUAUCACUUUGGCCGACUAUUAUAGCUAUUCUAAUCAGGAACAACUCUUCAGAUAUACUUAUUUGGCCUCAUGACAAUGGUAAAUUUAGUGCCACAUCCGCAUGGAAUCAAAUUAGGCAAAGAAAUA
rnacentral:lncRNA from 1 species